ACGCUCGACACCUACGGAAGGCAGCAGUGAGGAAUAUUGGUCAAUGGACGCAAGUCUGAACCAGCCAUGCCGCGUGCAGGAUGACGGCUCUAUGAGUUGUAAACUGCUUUUGUACGAGGGUAAACGCAGAUACGUGUAUCUGUCUGAAAGUAUCGUACGAAUAAGGAUCGGCUAACUCCGUGCCAGCAGCCGCGGUAAUCUGAGGCGGGCGUGGCGAAGGC
rnacentral:rRNA from 1 species